CCACCAUCGGGCGGCAGCUGGCGACCGCGCUGGCGCCGGUGCUGUCGGGCAAGCUGGCUCAGCUGGACAUGGGCAAGGUCGCCGCCCGCAUGGUGGA
rnacentral:tRNA from 1 species